GGGGAUGUGGUUCAGUGGUAGAGCACUCGCCUUACAUGUGAAAGGUCCUGGGUUUGAUUCUCAGCACCA
rnacentral:tRNA from 1 species